CAGAUAUCUUCUAUGAUAAUUCCAGGACCUUUGGAAUCUGUACUGGGUUCACAUGGCAGGCGAAGAACUGAAUCUCAACAGUGGAGUGACUGCCUCUGAUUUACAGAUUUCUCAAAGGAGCCAACACCAAACCCACAUCCCAUCUGCAGAAGAAAGAAUUGUCCCCAGAGUUAUGGCCUUCUUGGAGCUUUAUGGGGCCUUUGAAGUGUGACUCAAGUCAGCAUGGGAGAAAGAGGUAUUUUAGAAGAUUGCUUGGAAAAGUGGACAUUCCCAGAAG
ensembl:lncRNA